GUUCGAUAUUUCUGACACAUAGCACCAGUGAGAGACAGGCAGGGAGACUGGAAGAGAGACAGGUAGUAGACCAGUCUCUCUCCCGGACGGUGGAGAAACAGUAGUAGACCCGUAGAGUGACAUGCAAAGACAGGCAGGUAGAGAGACAGGUAGAGAGAGAGGCUUGUAGAGAGACAGACAGGUAGGGACAAAGGUAUAGAGACAGGCGGAUACAGAGAAAGGCAGGAAGACGGCUAGAGAGAAAGGAACGUAGAGAGACAGACAGGUAGAGAAUAAGACACGGAGAUGGGUAGAGAGACAGACAGAGAGACAGACAGGAAGAGAAACAGACUGGGACACAGGUAGAGAAACAGACUGGGAGAUGGGUAGAGGAGAGAGAGACAGACAGGGACACAGGUAGAGAGACAGACAGGGACACAGGUAGAGAGACAGACAGGUAAAGUGGGGUGUUUACCUUUAAUUACUGCAGAAGCAUCUGUUGGACUAACGGUUUUUCCGACUCCUGCAAUCGUUGUAAUGUACUUAAAUACAAUAUAUAUAUUAUAUCUACAUAAUAUAUAUAAUAAUACAUGAAUAAUAUGUAGAAAAUGUGGAGGCUCUAUAUGAAGGCUCUAUAUGAAGGCUCUAUAUGAAGGCUCUGUAUGAAGGCUCUGUAUGAAGGCUCUCUAUGAAGGCUCUAUAUUGAGGCUCUGUAUGAAGGCUCUGUAUGAAGGCUCUGUAUGAAGGCUCUGUAUGGAGGCUCUGUAUGAAGGCUCUAUAUGAAGGCUCUGUAUGAAGGCUCUGUAUGAAGGCUCUGUAUGAAGGCUCUGUAUGGAGGCUCUGUAUGGAGGCUCUGUAUGAAGGCUCUGUAUGAAGGCUCUAUAUGAAGGCUCUGUAUGAAGGCUCUAUAUUAAGGCUCUAUAUUAAGGCUCUGUAUGAAGGCUCUGUAUGGAGGCUCUGUAUGAAGGCUCUGUAUGAAGGCUCUGUAUGAAGGCUCUGUAUGAAGGCUCUAUAUGAAGGCUCUAUAUGAAGGCUCUAUAUGAAGGCUCUAUAUGAAGGUUCUAUAUGGAGGCUCUGUAUGAAGGCUCUAUAUGAAGGCUCUAUAUGAAGGCUCUAUAUGAAGGCUCUAUAUGAAGGCUCUGUAUGAAGGCUCUAUAUGGAGGCUCUGUAUGAAGGCUCUAUAUGAAGGCUCUGUAUGGAGGCUCUAUAUGAAGGAUAUAUAUGAAGGAUAUAUAUGGAGGCUCUGUAUGAAGGCUCUGUAUGAAGGCUCUGUAUGAAGGGUCUUGAGAGAGAGGACUGUGUGUGUGUGUGUGUGUGUGUGUGUGUGUGUGUGUGUGUGUGUGUGUGUGUGUGCGUGUGUGUGUGUGUGUGUGUGUGUGUG
ensembl:lncRNA